GCGUUCGUGGUGUAGUGGUCAGCACACUGAGCCGGUAUUUCAGAGGUCCGCGGUUCGAUCCCCGGCGAAGGCG
rnacentral:tRNA from 1 species